UACGUAGGGUGCGAGCGUUGCCCGGAUUUAUUGGGCGUAAAGGGCGCGUAGGCGGCCACGCACGUCCGUUGUGAAAUCGCCCGGCUCAACUGGGCUAGGUCAGCGGAUACGGUGUGGCUCGAGCAAGCUAGGGGGCAAUGGAAUUCCCCGGUGUAGUGGUGGAAUGCGUAGAUAUCGGGAGGAACACCAGUGGCGAAGGCGGUUGCCUGGAGCUUUGCUGACGCUGAUGCGCGAAGCGUGGGGAGC
rnacentral:rRNA from 1 species